GUCACACUGCUACAAAAGCUGCGGCGGCGUAGUUAGCAUUAUUGAAAAUAACAACUUAAAUAAACUAAUUCAGGCAUUGAAAACCCAAGUAAAACAAUAAACAGAAAUGGUGGAUGCCGCAACAUGUGAAUUACAUUACAAGAACAAGGCAAAAUCUAAUCGCGGGGAGGCCGCUGCGAGGCAUGCCGCUUGGUAGGAGAUUUGAAUGGCACGCAAAUGAGCGACCACGCGGAUCGACAGAGGCGUCAAAUGAACUGUGUGGACGAUGCACUUUGCUGGUCCACGAGGGAUGCCCAUGCCACAAUGUGCAGUUCGAGGAGUCCGAGAAGGAGAGCGACAUAGAGCAAGAUAUGCGCAUUAAUUACAGAUAGUUUAGCCAAUGAAAAUGCUGGCAGCAAUGCGAAGAAAGCCUGCAGCCCCUGGAAAUCUAUGUCUAAUCCACCAGAGUUGUUUGAGUUAGUUCCACAAGGAUUCUAACGUUUCGCAGAGAAAGUUGAUCUAUGCGUUCAAGAUAAAGCAGGUUUACGAAAAUCAACCUUACUUUGCUGGGAAGACGCUUUCUUUAAAAUCAAUUUGCCUGCUAUUUUUGGGAUACCCAGCAGACACUGGGCCUGUGUGAAUGUUUUGAGCUCGAAUGUAUGGCUGUGGCUGUAUGAUGGUUGAGCAAGGAUUCGUCAAUCGUCGCACUGAGAAGGCAAUUGAAACCGUUUUCGUUUUCAUGGAGCUGAAGGAUGAUGAUUGUACGCGUCCGCUGCAGCACUCCAGUACACAGAUGCUACAGGCCUGCUACUUCAAUCGGUAACAUUCCAACGCGGAAGAUCGAAGAAGGCUGGCGGGUCGUUCUUGCGGGCAAACCUGACUUUUCUUUGUGAAGACAUGAGCGACUCUCACGAUCAGGAUUACAUGUUCUUCAUCAAAGUGGACGAUCUCCAAUCUAAGAAUGAGAGCACAUCGGAUUAGGUUAAGAUUAGCAUAACAAAUGUAUCCACAAAUUUUGUAAACAUGUAAUGAACCAAGUUUUGUAUAUUA